GGCUUGGAGAGAGUGCCAGAUCGGACCUGAAACAAAUUGUGCCAUUGGAUGAACAUUAUUUCAUGGCUAUAAAAAGGACAAGGCAGACACCUCCCUUCCGAAACAACUGCUUAUGGACAAGAAUUCAGCACUAUGCCUUUUCUGCAGUCACCUUUCGUUUGGCACUACGGGGGGAAAACGGACAUCCUGUAAAGCAUCUGGCCGGCUGGAUCGUAUCCAAACUGGUGCUUGCAAAGGGUUCUCCUGACCCCUCUUUCAGGUAACCAGCACUAGCAGCACUGCAAGAAAGCAGCCAGAGCCUGCAGCACUUCAUCCUGACCCCAACGCUGGUCACCUCUAUCCCCGACUUUUCAGUGAAAGACCUUCAGGAA